GGCGUUUUCUGCUUGGUUGCCGAGAAAUUUGAGGAAAUUUCAUACGAAGAAAAAUUGGGUUUUCAUCAUGUUGUCGUCUUAAAGCUGAUGAACCGAAAGAAUAAGUAGAGAGUACUAAUGGGUGAUGUUGAGGCUUGGGAUUUGUUUAGUGAUCUGCCUCAAUUCAUAAUAGAAAGCAUUCUCACCCGAUUACGCAUAAGAGACGCUGUGAGAACGAGCAUCUUGUCCACCGAAUGGAGCUACCGAUGGGCUUCCCUUACUCACCUUGUUUUCGAUGACAAAUGUGUUGCAUUGUAUAAUGAUAAAGGACUUCUUGAGAUCAACCUCAUCAAAUUUAUCACCGGAGUACUCUUUCUUCACCAGGG
rnacentral:misc_RNA from 1 species